UGGGGAAUAUUGCACAAUGGGGGAAACCCUGAUGCAGCGACGCCGCGUGAACGAAGAAGGCAUUCGUAUCGUAAAGUUCUGUCCUAUGGGAAGAUAAUGACAGUACCAUAGAAGAAAGCUCCGGCUAAAUACGUGCCAGCAGCCGCGGUAAUACGUAUGGAGCGAGCGUUGUCCGGAAUUAUUGGGCGUAAAGGGUACGCAGGCGGUUUAAUAAGUCGAAUGUUAAAGAUCGGGGCUCAACCCCGCAAAGCAUUGGAAACUGAUAAACUUGAGUAGUGGAGAGGAAAGUGGAAUUCCUAGUGUAGUGGUGAAAUACGUAGAUAUUAGGAGGAAUACCAGUAGCGAAGGCGACUUUCUGGACACAAACUGACGCUGAGGUACGAAAGCGUGGGGAGCAAACAGG
rnacentral:rRNA from 1 species